rnacentral:lncRNA from 1 species
UACAUAGAGCUGUCUUCUUUGCCAACUCAAGAGAAUGGGAAUGUGGAGAUGUGAGGAUGGUCACACGUUAACUAAGUUAGCAUCACCCAAGUGGUGAAGGCACAGCAAUCAGAUUGGAUGCAGUGGAGAGAAAGAAGAUAGAUGUCAACAGGGAGAGACAGGAAGCACCAGAAAGGACUGACCUAUCUCAUACGAAGAAAUGUGUCUGAUGGGUGGAAUAGCUGCUCACGAUUACAAUUCCUCACCAAUAGAUGCAACUGAGAUGGAAAACAAGUUUAAAUCUCUCCAUGGGUGAAAAGAGGCACUUCACUGCUUUUGUGAAGAUGGCCUGUAGAGCACUAAAUCAUAAAUUUUUGCAUAUGC